UUCCAGGGUUCAGCUGCAGCAGACGCUCAGAUCCUGUCUCCUAACGGCCUGAAGAUGUCCCCUGAGGACACAGAUGAAGAGCUGAGAAAACCCUUCCCUGCAUGCCUGGGAGCAGUGACUACUAGGAAAUGCGUUUCUCAUGAGCCUGGAGCUUAUGUUCAAUCCUGUGACGAAAGCCACUUCUCUGUGAGUCCUGGAAGAAGGUGGAGAGAGAGAAUCCAGCGGAACUCAGAAGCAAGAAUGCACUGCUCCAGGUCAAGGAACAGAGGAAACGCCAAAGAAGGCACAGACACGGGUGGCUGGUCUCAGCGAUCAAGCUGUGGCAGUUAGAGGCAGGAAACGGAAUCGGAGAGGAGAGAGGCGAAGUUACCCCCGUGGGGCGCCCAGGGUGCUCGGAGUUCUGGGGCCCAGAGCCCCCACCGGCUUUGCAC
rnacentral:lncRNA from 1 species